GCUUGCUUUUCCUGAUGACGAGUGGCGGACGGGUGAGUAAAGUUUGGGAAGCUACCUGAUAGAGGGGGACAACAGUUGGAAACGACUGCUAAUACCGCAUACAGCCUGAGGGUGAAAGCAGCAAUGCGCUAUCAGAUGCGCCCAAAUGGGAUUAGCUAGUAGGUGAGGUAAAGGCUCACCUAGGCGACGAUCUCUAGCUGGUCUGAGAGGAUGAUCAGCCACAUUGGGACUGAGACACGGCCCAGACUCCUACGGGAGGCAGCAGUAGGGAAUAUUGCACAAUGGAGGAAACUCUGAUGCAGCCAUGCCGCGUGUGUGAAGAAGGCCUUCGGGUUGUAAAGCACUUUCGGAGGGGAGGAGAAUGACGUUACCCUCAGAAGAAGCACCGGCUAACUCCGUGCCAGCAGCCGCGGUAAUACGGAGGGUGCAAGCGUUAAUCGGAAUAACUGGGCGUAAAGGGCAUGCAGGCGGUUAAACAAGUAGGAUGUGAAAUCCCCGGGCUCAACCUGGGAGCUGCAUACUAAACUGUUUAACUAGAGUAUUGCAGGGGGAGACGGAAUUCCAGGUGUAGCGGUGGAAUGCGUAGAUAUCUGGAAGAACACCAAAGGCGAAGGCAGUCUCCUGGGCAAAUACUGACGCUCAUAUGCGAAAGCGUGGGUAGCAAACAGGAUUAGAUACCCUGGUAGUCCACGCCGUAAACGAUGUCAAUUAGGAGCUUGUGCGAUAGUAUGGGUUCCGCAGCAAACGCGAUAAAUUGACCGCCUGGGGAGUACGGCCGCAAGGUUAAAACUCAAAUGAAUUGACGGGGGCCCGCACAAGCGGUGGAGCAUGUGGUUUAAUUCGACGCAACGCGAAGAACCUUACCUGACCUUGACAUAGUGAGAACCUCUCUGAAGGGAGAGGGUGCCUUCGGGAGCUCACAU
rnacentral:rRNA from 1 species